rnacentral:rRNA from 1 species
UGAGGAAUCUUCGUCAAUGGGCAGACGCCUGAACGAGCAACGCCGCGUGGAGGACGACGCCUUUCGGGGUGUAAACUCCUUUUCUGUGGGACGAGAGUGGACGGUACCACAGGAAGAAGCCCCGGCUAACUACGUGCCAGCAGCCGCGGUAAUACGUAGGGGGCAAGCGUUGUCCGGAGUUACUGGGCGUAAAGCGCACGCAGGCGGUUGCACGCGUUUCCGGUGCCAGCUCGUUGCUUAACGACGAGAGUGCCGGGAAGACGGCGCGACUCGAGGACCUCAGAGGGACAUAGAAUUCCGGGUGGAGUGGUGAAGUGCGUAGAUAUCCGGAGGAAUACCAAAGGCGAAGGCAGUGUCCUGGGAGGUGACUGACGCUAAGGUGCGAAAGCCAGGGGAGCGAACGGGAUUAGAUACCCCGGUAGUCCUGGCCGUAAACGAUGACCAUUAGGCGUGUGGGGUAUCGACCCCCUGCGUGCCGAAGUUAACACAUGAAAUGGUCCGCCUGGGGAGUACGGUCGCAAGAUUA